rnacentral:rRNA from 1 species
UACGAAGGGAGCUAGCGUUGUUCGGAAUUACUGGGCGUAAAGCGCACAUAGGCGGGCUGAUAAGUCAGGGGUGAAAUCCCGAGGCUCAACCUCGGAACUGCCUUUGAUACUGUUAGUCUUGAGAUCGGGAGAGGUGAGUGGAAUUCCUAGUGUAGAGGUGAAAUUCGUAGAUAUUAGGAAGAACACCAGUGGCGAAGGCGGCUCACUGGCCCGAUACUGACGCUGAGGUGCGAAAGCGUGGGGAGCAAACAGG